UGAUACAGUAAAAUGUGAUGUGUGGGGUUAUGGUUAGGCUGGAUGCACCUUCCCCUGGUCCUGCUCAGCGUGCCCUGGGAGCAGCUGGCAGCUGCCAGGAGCAGCGCUGUCCCUUGGGAUCCAGCUGCUCGCUCAAAUGCUGACCGAAGGCGCUGCUGGCUGCGCUUGUGCUCGUGUCGUGGAACGAGCUUCUGGAACGAAUUCAAGGAAAUAGAAGUGACAAAAACUACUGACAGCAUGGAUUUGGAGUGUUCUGUGGGGUAAUCAGCUCUUGCCUUUUCUGGGUUUAGGGAGUCAUGCCAAGCAAGUUGAUUUUCAUUGCAUUUGAAAGUCAUCCCCCUCCCCAAAAACUUCUCUAAGAAUGUGACUAAAACCAAAGCACUUUUUAAGUUACAAAGGAAUAGUGUUGAGCUGGUGAAGCCAGCUGGAAAUGAACAUAGAAUCCCAGAAUUGUUUG